rnacentral:rRNA from 1 species
GCAAGUCGAACGAGAACGGAUUAAAGCUUGCGUUAAUUGUCAGCUAAGUGGCGCACGGGUGAGUAAUAUAUAGGUAACAUGCCUUCGAGAAGGGGAUAAAGUUUGGAAACGAACGCUAAUACACUAUAUGCCUUUAAGUCUUAAGACUGAAAGGGAAAUAUUUAUAGCUCGAAGAUUGGCCUGUACAGUAUCAGUUAGUUGGUGAGGUAAUGGCUCACCAAGACAAUGACGCUUAGCUGGUCUGAGAGGAUGAUC